CUCCUGCAGUGUCAGGGUAUAAGGGAGCGGGCACGCGCCUGAGGCGCGCUCACUGGAGUUGUAGAACGCGCAGUAGGAGGAGCACAGGGAUCAGUGGGAGAUGUGACCGGGGGACCCGGCGUGUGUCCUCCGCCCUGAGGCAGGCGCAUCUCUCCGCUGUUCGGGAGGAGGAGGAGGCAGCAGCGAGCAUGGCGGACAAGGGCAGGCUGAGCUUCCCGGGGGCACUGAACAGGCCGGUGCCUAUGAACCUAUUCGCUACCUGGGAAGUAGACGGUUCCAGCCCGAGCUGCAUCCCCAGGCUCUGCAGUCUGACUCUGAAGAAACUUCUGGUGGUGAAGGAGCUGGAUAAGGAGCAUAUUUCAGUGGUCAUUGCAGUGAAGAUGCAGGGAUCCAAGCGCAUUCUGCGUUCUCAUGAGAUUGUUCUGCCCCCUGCUGGACAAGUGGAGACUGACCUGGCACUGACAUUCUCAUUGCAGUACCCUCACUUUCUGAAACGGGAAGGAAAUAAACUACAGAUCAUGCUUCAGAGACGGAAAAGAUACAAAAACCGAACAAUUCUUGGUUACAAGACUCUGGCUGUCGGCAGCAUUAACAUGGCUGAGGUCAUGCAGCAUCCCACUGAAGGAAGCCAAGUCUUGAGCCUGUUUAGUAACAUGAAGGAAACAUCUGCCAAAGUUGCAGAGAUUUGGAUCUUUUCACUCUCCAGUCAACCGAUUGACCAUGAAGACAGCACCAUGCACACCAACCAAAAGAUUAAAUCCACAGAUAACUAUUCUGAGGAAGAGUAUGAAAGUUUCUCCUCAGAGCAAGAAGCCAGUGAUGAUGCUGUGCAAGGACAGGAUUUAGAUGACGACGAAUUUGAUGUUGGGAAACCAAAGAAGCAGCGAAGAACGAUACAACAGAAUUUCAAGCAGAAGGUGGUUGCAUUGUUACGGAGGUUUAAAGUUUCCGAUGAGGUGCUCGACUCUGAGCAGGACCCAGGGGAGCAUGUGCCGGAGGUUGAAGAGGACAUGGACUUACUGUACGACACUCUGGACAUUGAGAAUCCCAGUGACAGUGGCCCAGAGAUGGAAGAUGAUGACAGUGUCCUUAGCACACCCAAGCCAAAGCUAAAACCUUACUUUGAGGGCCUGUCACACUCCAGCUCUCAGACAGAGAUCGGAAGCUUAUACAGUGCAAGAAGCCAGAGGGAAUUACCGAGCCCGGUGGAGGUGCCUGAGAGACGGACAUCGGGAACCAAGCCUCAGUCUGACUGUGUCUCUGAUACACUGUCGUUGGAGGCCUCUCAGCAAGAAGCCCAGGAUGCAGAGCUGUCCACGCUGGAUGUCUUCAUUGAGAGGUUACCACCUAGUGGCAAGAUCACCAAGACUGAAUCCUUAAUAAUCCAUUCAACCAUUAGCCAAACAGUCCUUGAUAAGAGCGCUCCCCUGACACAAGGGUCCAUCUACAGGUGUAGCACCAGCAAGAUUCCCCGGAAAACCGUGUACGAUCAGUUAAACCACAUCCUGAUUUCAGAUGAUCACCUCCCUGAGAAUAUCAUUCUGGUGAACACGUCUGAUUGGCAGGGCCAGCUUCUUUCAGACAUUUUGCAAAAGCACGACGUUCCCUUAGUGUGUACUUGUUCCUCUGCUGACAUCCAGGCUGCCUUCAAUACCAUAGUGUCCAGGAUACAGCGCUAUUGCAACUGCAAUUCUCAGCCCCCAAACCCGGUGAAAGUGGCAGUGGCGGGAGAUCAGAAUUACCUCAGUGCCGUGCUGAGACUGUUCGUUGAGCAACUGUCACACAAGACUCCCGACUGGCUGGGCUACCUGAGGUUUCUCAUCAUCCCACUGGGAUCUCACCCGGUCGCCAAGUAUCUGGGAUCUGUAGAUUACAAGUACAACCACCUCUUUCAGGAUCCAGCAUGGAGGGAUCUCUUCUGUAAACUGGAUGCGCAAACAGCGGUACAAGACCCACCAGAUGUGGUGUCCCGUGUGACGCAGUAUAUCUCCGGCGCCAACUGUGCGCACCAGCUGCCCAUUGCAGAGGCCAUGCUCACUUACAAGCAAAAAAGCCCUGACGAAGACUCCUCACAGAAGUUCAUACCUUUUGUUGGGGUUGUAAAAGUUGGUAUUGUUGAGCAGUCUUCUGCGACCUCAGGGGAUUCAGAUGAUGCUGCACCAUCAGGCUCCACUGUACUUUCAUCCACUCCACCUUCCGUUUCUCCCGCUGUGAAAGAAGCGUCUCCCACUCCCCCCUCAUCGCCAUCUGUUACGUCUGGCCUCUCCUCUUCGCCAAGCCAAAGCCCAGGAGGGGAACUCAUGGGGCUCCAACUGGAUUACUGGAUUGCGGCCCCUUUUGCCGAAAAGAAGAAAGACUUGGAAAAGAAGGACUCCACCUCCGCCAAGAACACUUUGAAAUGCACUUUCCGCUCGCUGCAGGUCAGCAGGCUUCCCAGCAACAGUGACGUUCCCACUGCUCCCACCAUGUCCAUGACCGUUGUCAUGAAGGAAAAAAACAAAAAAGUCAUGUUUUUGCCGAAGAAGACAAAGGAUAAAGAAGUGGAAUCUAAGAGCCAAUGUAUCGAAGGCAUUAGUAGACUCAUUUGCACUGCUAAACACCAACAGAACAUGCUCAGAGUGCUGAUCGAUGGAGUGGAAUGGAACGAUGUCAAGUUUUUCCAGUUGGCUGCACAGUGGUCCUCUCACGUCAAGCACUUUCCCAUCUGUAUAUUCGGACACUCUAAAGCCAACUUCUAGCCUUUUUACAAGGCGGAUCCCUCCAAUCCAACACUCCCCCCGCAGGCUGGAUGUCUGGAUACCAUACACUAACGAGUGCCAACUACUCCGAAUUAAAACCAUCCAGCUACGACUUUCUUUUUUUUUUUUUUUUUAUACUAUUGUUUUUAUUAUUGUGCCGAUUAUUUAAAGCUAUGCUUGAAGUUACCUUUUUUUUAUAUUAAUUUUUAAUUUUACUACCAAGGGAGGAUAAAACUUUAAAAAAAAAAGGAACAAGAAAUAAUAAUUAAAAUUAAAACAACAAGUCUUAACUGUUAA